rnacentral:tRNA from 1 species
UCCUGCCUGGCUCAGUGGUAGAGCACGUGAUUCUUGAUCUGGGGGUUGUGAGUUCGAGCCCCAUGUUGGGUA